rnacentral:rRNA from 1 species
GUUUGAUCCUGGCUCAGAAUGAACGCUUGCGAUAGGCUUAACACAUGCAAGUUGAACGUUUGGUUUGAACCAACGUAGCGAACGGGUGCGUAAUAAGCAGGAAUACUACCCUCGCGUGAAGAUAAAUCUUUCAUAAAACGUUUUUCAUGAUGGAUUGUAUGAACCAAACCGUGACUACAUGAAGUGAAAAAAGUCAAUGACCAGUGUGUCGUGCGUGGAUGUGCCUGCAUAAGAUUAGAUAGUUGGAAUGGGAAAGCCAUACCAAGUCGAGGAUCUUUAGUUGAUCUUAGCGGAUGAUCAGCCACACUGGGACUGAGACACGGCCCAGGCUCCCAUGGGAGACAGCAGUGAGGAAUAUUGGACAAUGCACGAAAGUGUGAUCCAGCUAUAUCGCGUGAGUGAAGAAAGGCGUAAUGCUCGUAAAACUCUUUCAGCAAGAACAUGCUUUGUGCAUGGAGACAUAGUGACAUCUCUUGCAGAAGAAGCUCCGGCAAAUAUCUGUGCCAGCAGCCGCGGUAAUACAGAAGGAGCAAGUGUUAUUCGGAAUAAUUGGGCGUAAAUGGCGUGUAGGUUGUGCUUUGAUGUUCUAGGUUAAAUCCAUCCCGUUGUGGGAUGCAGGGCCUCUUUGACAUGAGCACUGGAGUAUAGCAGAGGAAAGGAGAAUUCCUUGUGGAGGAGUUAAAUCCUUAGAUAUGAGUGAGGAAUACCUACGGCGAAAGCACCUUUCUGGACUAUUUUCUGACACUGAGGCGCGAAGGUCUGGGGAGCGAAGCCGAUUAGAUACCGGCGUAGUCCAGACAGUCAACGAUGCUGU